rnacentral:rRNA from 1 species
UCCGGUAAUCAAUGUAUUGACGGUUACACCGCACGGUAACUCCUUACCAGUGAUGGUCAUCCUCUGACAAUCCUAGAGAUAGGACGUCCCCUUCGGGGGCAGAGUGACAGGUGGUGCAUGGUUGUCGUCAGCUCGUGUCGUGAGAUGUUGGGUUAAGUCCCGCAACGAGCGCAACCCUUGAUCUUAGUUGCCAGCAUUCAGUUGGGCACUCUAAGGUGACUGCCGGUGACAAACCGGAGGAAGGUGGGGAUGACGUCAAAUCAUCAUGCCCCUUAUGACCUGGGCUACACACGUGCUACAAUGGACAGAACAAAGGGCAGCGAAACCGCGAGGUUAAGCCAAUCCCACAAAUCUGUUCUCAGUUCGGAUCGCAGUCUGCAACUCGACUGCGUGAAGCUGGAAUCGCUAGUAAUCGCGGAUCAGCAUGCCGCGGUGAAUACGUUCCCGGGCCUUGUACACACCGCCCAUAAACUCAAAUGAAUUGACGGUACACUCCGCCCGUACACUCAAAUGAUUGGACGGUACACCUCAGAGCGUACACGCAUAUGCAUUUGGCGG